rnacentral:rRNA from 1 species
ACGGAGGGUGCAAGCGUUGUUCGGAAUUACUGGGCGUAAAGCGCGCGUAGGCGGUUUGUUAAGUCAGAUGUGAAAGUCCACGGCUCAACCAUGGAAGUGCAUUUGAAACUGGCAGACUUGAGUAUUGGAGGGGGCAGUGGAAUUCCCGGUGUAGAGGUGAAAUUCGUAGAUAUCGGGAGGAAUACCAGUGGCGAAGGCGACUGUCUGGCCAAAUACUGACGCUGAGGUGCGAAAGCGUGGGGAGCAAACAGG